GACGAACGCUGGCGGCGUGCUUAACACAUGCAAGUCGAACGGAAAGGCCCUGCUUUUGUGGGGUGCUCGAGUGGCGAACGGGUGAGUAACACGUGAGUAACCUGCCCUUGACUUUGGGAUAACUUCAGGAAACUGGGGCUAAUACCGGAUAGGAGCUCCUGCUGCAUGGUGGGGGUUGGAAAGUUUCGGCGGUUGGGGAUGGACUCGCGGCUUAUCAGCUUGUUGGUGGGGUAGUGGCUUACCAAGGCUUUGACGGGUAGCCGGCCUGAGAGGGUGACCGGCCACAUGGGGACUGAGAUACGGACCAGACUCCUACGGGAGGCAGCAGUGGGGAAUAUGGCGCAAUGGGCGGAAGCCUGAUGCAGCGACGCCGCGUGCGGGAUGACGGCCUUCGGGGUGUAAACCGCUUUCGCCUGUGACAAAGCGUGAGUGACGGUAAUGGGUAAGGAAGCACCGGCUAACUACGUG
rnacentral:rRNA from 1 species